UACGUAGGGUGCGAGCGUUGUCCGGAAUUAUUGGGCGUAAAGAGCUCGUAGGCGGCCUGUCGCGUCGGUUGUGAAAGCCCGGGGCUUAACCCCGGGUCUGCAGUCGAUACGGGCAGGCUAGAGUUCGGUAGGGGAGAUCGGAAUUCCUGGUGUGGCGGUGAAAUGCGCAGAUAUCAGGAGGAACACCGGUGGCGAAGGCGGUUCUCUGGGCAUUACCUGACGCUGAGGAGCGAAAGUGUGGGGAGCGAACAGG
rnacentral:rRNA from 1 species